rnacentral:rRNA from 1 species
CAGCAGCCGCGGUAAUACCGGCGGCCCGAGUGGCGGUCACUAUUAUUGGGCUUAAAGCGUCCGUAGCCGGGUUGGGAAGGCCUCCGGGAAAUCUGGCCGCUUAAAGGUCAGAAUGCCGGAGGAUACUCCCAGCCUAGGGAGCGGGAGAGGCCGAGGGGAUUCCCGGAGUAGGGGUGGAAUCCUAUAAUCCCGGGAUGACCACCUGUGGCGAAGGCGCUCGGCUGGAACGCGUCCGACGGUGGGGGACGAAGGCCAGGGGAGCAAACCGGAUUAGAUACCCGGGUAGUCCUGGCUGUAAACGAUGCGGACUUUGUGUCGGACAAGCUAUGAGCUUGUCCGGUGCCGGAGGGAAACCGUUAAGUCCGCCGCCUGGGGAGUACGGCCGCAAGGCUGAAACUUAAAGGAAUUGGCGGG